GUUGUAGCUCAGUGGUAGAGCACUUGCCUAGCACAUGUGAGGCACUGGGUUCGAUCCUCUGCACAACA
rnacentral:tRNA from 1 species